rnacentral:rRNA from 1 species
UGAGUACGAGCGGCUACGGCCGCGAAGUGGAUGAUGUCAAGCUUCCAAGAAAAGCCCUAUACCCGUUAAGGCAUGAUGGCCUGUACCCGAAACCGACACAGGUGGGGUGGUAGAGAAUACCGAGGGGCGCGAGGUAACUCUCUCUAAGGAACUCGGCAAAAUGGCCCCGUAACUUCGGGAGAAGGGGUGCCACCGCGAGGUGGUCGCAGUGAAGAGGCCCAGGCGACUGUUUACCAAAAACACAGGUCUCCGCUAAGUCGCAAGACGAUGUAUGGGGGCUGACGCCUGCCCAGUGCCGGAAGGUUAAGGAAGCUGGUCAGCGCAAGCGAAGCUGGCGACUGAAGCCCCGGUGAACGGCGGCCGUAACGAUAACGGUCCUAAGGUAGCGAAAUUCCUUGUCGGGUAAGUUCCGACCCGCACGAAAGGCGUAACGAUCUGGGCGCUGUCUCGGAGAGAGGCUCGGCGAAAUAGAAUUGUCUGUGAAGAUGCGGACUACGUGCACCCGGACAGAAAGACCCUAUGAAGCUUUACUGUAGCUUGGUAUUGUGCUCGGGCUCGGAAUGCGCAGGAUAGGUGGGAGGCUUUGAUCCAUUGCUUGCGGGUGAUGGUGAGCCACUGGUGAGAUACCACUCUUUCCGAGCUAGAGUUCUAACAGCAACCCGUUAUCCGGGUGCUGGACAGUAUCAGGUGGGCAGUUUGACUGGGGCGGUCGCCUCCUAAAAGGUAACGGAGGCGCGCAAAGGUCUGCUCAGGCUGGUUGGAAAUCAGCCGACGAGUGUAAAAGCAGAAGCAGGCUUGACUGUGAGACCUACAAGUCGAACAGGGAGGAAACUCGGCUUUAGUGAUCCGACGGUUCUGCGUGGAAGGGCCGUCGCUCAACGGAUAAAAGUUACUCUAGGGAUAACAGGCUGAUCUCCCCCAAGAGUUCACAUCGACGGGGAGGUUUGGCACCUCGAUGUCGGCUCAUCGCAACCUGGGGCUGAAGUCGGUCCCAAGGGUUGGGCUGUUCGCCCAUUAAAGCGGUACGCGAGCUGGGUUCAGAACGUCGUGAGACAGUUCGGUCCAUAUCCGGUGCACGCGCAGGAAUAUUGAGAGGAUUUCUCCCUAGUACGAGAGGACCGGGAGGAACGCACCUCUGGUGUGCCAGUUAUCGUGCCAACGGUAAACGCUGGGUAGCCAUGUGCGGAGUGGAUAACCGCUGAAAGCAUCUAAGUGGGAAGCCCACCUCAAGAUGAGUAUUCCCAUGGGGUAACCCAGUAAGGUCACGGGAAGAACACCCGUUGAUAGGCUCUACGUGGAAGCGCAGUAAUGUGUGAAGCGGAGGAGUACUAAUAGACC